rnacentral:rRNA from 1 species
AGCCAUGCCGCGUGUAUGAAGAAGGCCUUACGGGUGUAAAGUACUUUCAGCAGUGAGGAAGGUGGGUAUGUUAAUAGCAUACUCAUUUGACGUUAGCUGCAGAAGAAGCACCGGCUAACUCCGUGCCAGCAGCCGCGGUAAUACGGAGGGUGCGAGCGUUAAUCGGAAUUACUGGGCGUAAAGCGCAUGCAGGUGGUUUGUUAAGUCAGAUGUGAAAGCCCGGGGCUCAACCUCGGAAUUGCAUUUGAAACUGGCAAACUAGAGUACUGUAGAGGGGGUAGAAUUUCAGGUGUAGCGGUGAAAUGCGUAGAGAUCUGAAGGAAUACCGGUGGCGAAGGCGGCCCCCUGGACAGAUACUGACACUCAGAUGCGAAAGCGUGGGGAGCAAACAGGAUUAGAUACCCUCGGUAG